AACGAACGCUGGCGGCAUGCCUAACACAUGCAAGUCGAACGAGACCUUCGGGUCUAGUGGCGCACGGGUGCGUAACGCGUGGGAACCUGCCCUUAGGUUCGGAAUAACUCCCCGAAAGGGGUGCUAAUACCGGAUAAUGUCUUCGGACCAAAGAUUUAUCGCCUUUGGAUGGGCCCGCGUUGGAUUAGCUAGUUGGUAGGGUAAAAGCCUACCAAGGCGACGAUCCAUAGCUGGUCUGAGAGGAGGAUCAGCCACACUGGGACUGCGACACGGCCCAGACUGCUACGGGAGGGAGCAGAGGGGAACACUGGACGAUGGGCGAAAGCCUGAUCCCGCAACGCCGCGGAAGUGAUGAAGGGCUUAGGGUUGCAAAGCUCUCUUACCCGGGAUGAUAAUGACAGUACUGGGAGAAUAAGCUCCGGCUAACUACGUG
rnacentral:rRNA from 1 species